rnacentral:lncRNA from 1 species
UGAGCAAGUCCCUUAGCACCUGAUUCUCGAGCCAAGGUGAGGAUUGAUAUUUAGGGUGUUAAAUUAGUCAUCAGUAGAGGUAAGGAUCCAUGGAUAUGAUCAUCAAUAUAUUGUAUUUGUUUAUGCAUCGCAUAUUUUGGUUCUUGUGGUUAGUAUAUGUUUUGUGAUUAUCGGCAUGAUUGAUUGUAUUCUCUAUAUUAUAUGAUAUCAAAUAUUGAUGAUUUUUUAGACGAUUUGGAUUAUGACACGGGUUAUUGAAAAUCUUGAAAAGAAAAUAAUAUGAUACAGUAUUUUUUGGUAUUAUUAAGAUUUAUGAAUUCAUGAUCAAGAAAGGGAUGUUUGGACUAAUCGUGUUAAAUUGAGAAUAGUCCACCAUGGAUAGAAACAUGGCACCCCAUCAUUGAUAAGAACAUGGCCAAGUGAAUAGCCCACCAUGGGCAAGAAUAUGACACUAAAAAUAGCCCCACCACAAUGGGAACAUAGUAUUUGAGUUUGCUGUCAUGAACUGAAACAUAACCACGAUUAGUCCAAAUUCCUAAAAUUAAUUAUUGAUUGAUCUAGAUCAUAUCAAUGAGAAAUGUUUUUAUGAUUAUCCAUAAUGUAUACUAUAUACUUAUAUAAUUGUUGAGUUACAAUGGAUGCAUGAUAUGAGGCUUUAUGGUUUAUAAUUUUCUUUGUUACUAUUUAGUUAUUAUUUUUGAAUCAUAUUAUUAUACUGGUGUAGUUAUAUGAGAUUUUUUACUGGGCUAUAAACCUCACUCCCCUCAUAGUUAUCUUUUCUUUUAAAGACAUAGGAUGCAUAGUGUUGAUCAGAUUGAGUGUGAAGUUCGAGUGCUGGAUUUAUUAGUUCAUUAGUUAGAUCAAUU